rnacentral:rRNA from 1 species
UACGUAGGGUGCAAGCGUUAUCGGAAUUACUGGGCGUAAAGCGUGCGCAGGCGGCUUUGCAAGACAGAUGUGAAAUCCCCGGGCUCAACCUGGGAACUGCAUUUGUGACUGCAAGGCUGGAGUACGGCAGAGGGGGAUGGAAUUCCGCGUGUAGCAGUGAAAUGCGUAGAUAUGCGGAGGAACACCGAUGGCGAAGGCAAUCCCCUGGGCCUGUACUGACGCUCAUGCACGAAAGCGUGGGGAGCAAACAGG